CGUGUAGGCGGCAUGGUAAGUCGGGUGUGAAAUCCCUCAGCUCAACUGAGGAAGUGCGCCCGAAACUGCCGUGCUUGAGUGCCGGAGAGGAUGGCGGAAUUCCCCAAGUAGAGGUGAAAUUCGUAGAUAUGGGGAGGAACACCGGUGGCGAAGGCGGCCAUCUGGACGGCAACUGACGCUGAGACGCGAAAGCGUGGGUAGCAAACA
rnacentral:rRNA from 1 species